UACGAAGGGGGCUAGCGUUGUUCGGAAUUACUGGGCGUAAAGCGCGCGCAGGCGGUCCUUUAAGUCAGGGGUGAAAGCCCAGAGCUCAACUCUGGAACUGCCUUUGAAACUAGAGGACUUGGGUACGGGAGAGGUGAGUGGAAUUCCGAGUGUAGAGGUGAAAUUCGUAGAUAUUCGCAAGAACACCAGUGGCGAAGGCGGCUCACUGGCCCGGAACUGACGCUGAGACGCGAAAGCGUGGGGAGCAAACAGG
rnacentral:rRNA from 1 species